GACGAAGGGGCUAGCGUUGUUCGGAAUUACUGGGCGUAAAGCGCGUGUAGGCGGUUGUUCAAGUCAGGUGUGAAAGCCUUGAGCUCAACUCAAGAAAUGCACUUGAUACUGGAUGACUAGAGGACCGGAGAGGAUAGUGGAAUUCCCAGUGUAGUGGUGAAAUACGUAGAGAUUGGGAAGAACACCAGUGGCGAAGGCGGCUAUCUGGACGGUUUCUGACGCUAAGACGAAAGCGUGG
rnacentral:rRNA from 1 species